AAUCAACGCUGGCGGCGUGCCUCAGACAUGCAAGUCGAACGAGAAAGUCCCCUUCGGGGGGUGAGUAAAGUGGCGCACGGGUGAGUAACACGUAGGUAAUCUACCUUCGGGUGGGGAAGUAAACCCACGGGAAACGUUAGGGCGUAACACCGCAUAAUGCAGCGGCACCACAUGGUGACAGUUGUUAAAGACGGGGGAGUUUUAGGUACCUCGCGCCUGAAGAGGAGCCUGCGGCGGAUUAGCUAGUUGGUAGGGUAACGGCUUACCAAGGCGACGAUCCGUAACCGGCCUGAGAGGGCGGUCGGUCACACUGACACUGACAUACGGGUCAGACUCCUACGGGAGGCAGCAGUCGGGAAUCUUGCGCAAUGGGCGAAAGCCUGACGCAGCGACGCCGCGUGAGGGAUGACGGCCU
rnacentral:rRNA from 1 species